rnacentral:rRNA from 1 species
CCCAAAUUUUGACCUUUAAGUACUUUUUCGGGCAUUUUUGUGAUUUGGGCUAUAUUACGGACCCAAAAUUACUUGUUCAAGCAUUGUUUUAGAAUUUUUUCAUGCAUCAAAGCUCGUUAAGACUAGAUGGGGUAUCCCUACAUAGCGGGUGGGACCCACGGCGAAUGGUUCAUCAAGUCUUCAAAAAAGAAUAUAUACGAUUGCAUUGCAUAUACUAACGGAUGCGAUCAUACCAGCACUAAUACACGAGAUCCCAUCAGAACUCCGCAGUUAAGCGUGCUUGGGCGAGAGUAGUACUAGGAUGGGUGACCUCCCGGGAAGUCCUCGUGUUGCAUCCCUCUUUUUUUUUAAUUUUUUUUUUUUUGGUUAAAACUUUAUGACUCUAUAACUUUUAUACCGUGAGGCCAAACUUGGCAUGUGAUACCUUUUCGGAAAGCCCAAAGAGAGCCUUCCGAUGAAAGAAGCAGGACAAUGGAACAUUUCCAUUGAUUUUUUGUCGAC